ACCUGCGGAGGGAUCAUUACCGAGUUUACAACUCCCAAACCCCUGUGAACAUACCACUUGUUGCCUCGGCGGAUCAGCCCGCUCCCGGUAAAACGGGACGGCCCGCCAGAGGACCCCUAAACUCUGUUUCUAUAUGUAACUUCUGAGUAAAACCAUAAAUAAAUCAAAACUUUCAACAACGGAUCUCUUGGUUCUGGCAUCGAUGAAGAACGCAGCAAAAUGCGAUAAGUAAUGUGAAUUGCAGAAUUCAGUGAAUCAUCGAAUCUUUGAACGCACAUUGCGCCCGCCAGUAUUCUGGCGGGCAUGCCUGUUCGAGCGUCAUUUCAACCCUCAAGCACAGCUUGGUGUUGGGACUCGCGUUAAUUCGCGUUCCUCAAAUUGAUUGGCGGUCACGUCGAGCUUCCAUAGCGUAGUAGUAAAACCCUCGUUACUGGUAAUCGUCGCGGCCACGCCGUUAAACCCCAACUUCUGAAUGUUGACCUCGGAUCAGGUAGGAAUACCCGCUGAACUUAAGCAUAUCAAUAAGGCGGAGGAA
rnacentral:rRNA from 1 species